GUCCCUGUCCAGUGUGGGAGCCAACCUCACAAACAUGGGCUGCUUUCAUUUUGGCAAGGGCAAGCAGGGAUCGCAGCCGCUCCACGGGCGGGGAGGGCUCGGAGCCAGCGCUGCAGGAACCGGGGGAUGCUCAGCUGGGAGAUCCCAGGGAAAGGCUUUCCCAGGAUUUGGGAUGUUGGAGCAAACAGCUCUGGGCUCCUGGCUGGGCCUGGCUGAUGAGCCCCAGCACGGAAUGAGCGAGAGGGGAAGAACAAAAGGCUCCUUUGAUGUGCUCACCCGCACCAUGUUCAGCACAAAAUGCAAAUGUUCCCUCACGCUGGAGAACACUUAUCAAUAUUAAGGCAUACACGGAGCAGAAGAAAGGAGGAAGAACAAAAUACAACACUUAACAAGAGGGUAAUUUAGCCUGUUGGCAAGUGCUUCAAGCCGAGUUCAUGAAAAAUUACUCAGACAAUUGUUUUGUGGGGGUUCUGGGCCGUUCUGCAUAAAUCAUGAUAUGGAUUCCAUGGGAGGCCAGAGCUUGAUCAGGUGUGAGAGGG
rnacentral:lncRNA from 1 species